rnacentral:rRNA from 1 species
UACGUAGGGGCCGAGCGUUGUCCGGAUUCAUUGGGCGUAAAGAGCUCGUAGGCGGCUGCUCAAGUCGAAUGUGAAAACUCGAGGCUCAACCUCGAGCCUGCAUUCGAUACUGGGCGGCUAGAGUCUGGUAGGGGGAUCUGGAAUUCCUGGUGUAGCGGUGGAAUGCGCAGAUAUCAGGAGGAACACCGGUGGCGAAAGCGACGUGCUGGACCUCUUCUGACGCUGAUGCGCGAAAGCUAGGGGAGCAAACGGG